rnacentral:rRNA from 1 species
UAUUGCACAAUGGGGGAAACCCUGAUGCAGCAACGCCGCGUGAGUGAAGAAGUAUUUCGAUAUGUAAAGCUCUAUCAGCAGGUAAGAAGAAAUGACGGUACCUGACUAAGAAGCACCGGCUAACUACGUGCCAGCAGCCGAGGUAAUACGUAGGGGGCAAGCGUUAUACGGAUUUACUGGGUGUAAAGGGAGCGUAGACGGUGAUGCAAGUCUGAUGUGAAAGCCCGGGGCUCAACCUCGGGACUGCAUUGGAAACUGUAUGACUGGAGUGCAGGAGAGGUAAGUGGAAUUCCUAGUGUAGCGGUGAAAUGCGUAGAUAUUAGGAGGAACACCAGUGGCGAAGGCGGCUUACUGGACUGUAACUGACGUUGAGGCUCGAAAGCGUGGGGAGCAAAC